GGAAGCGCGUGCUGGACUGGUGCCGGCCUCGGUCUUCAAAACCGAUGGAUCCUCGCGCGAGCGACGGAUCGGAGGGUUCGAUUCCCUUGCGCUUCCG
rnacentral:tRNA from 1 species